GAUGGGCAUUUCCGUCAUUUCAGUAUAUCCUCCGAGCUUCCUUUGGAGUGGGCCGAGGCAAGCGUGGUCUCAAAGCCGCUCCAGAUUUUUCAGGAAUCGUAUCGACAGCCAAAACGCAUAGCGACACCAGCAGCAGCCAUGGUUGCCACCCAAAAGGAUCCUAGAGAGGAAGUCAUCCAAGCAUGGUACAUGGAUGAUAGUGAUGAAGACCAGAGGCUCCCCCAUCACAAGGAGUCCAAGGAAUUUGUAUCCUUGGACCAACUUGCCGAGCUUGGAGUGCUCAGUUGGCGUCUAGAUGCUGAUAACUAUGAAACAGAUGAGGAGUUGAAGAAGAUUCGUGAAGAACACGGUUACUCCUACAUGGACUUCUGUGAGGUUUGCCCUGUAAAGCUUCCUAAUUAUGAGCAGAAGUUAAAAAAUUUCUUUGAGGAACAUCUUCACACUGAUGAGGAGAUCCGAUACUCUGUGGAUGGAAGUGGUUAUUUCGAUGUUAGGGACCGAAAUGAAUGUUGGAUUCGCGUAUGGGUGAAAAAGGGGGGAAUGAUUGUUUUGCCUGCUGGAAUUUAUCACCGAUUUACAUUGGACACAAACAACUACAUAAAGGCAAUGCGUCUCUUUAUUGGUGAUCCAGUUUGGACUCCCUAUAAUCGUCCUCAUGAUCAUCUUCCCGCAAGGGAGGAGUAUCUUAAAGCUUUUGUGCAUAAGGAAACUGGUGACCAUGCAGUUAAUGCUGCGGCAUAAAAUAUGGCUUUUGCUUCUAAAUGUGGGUUUACAAAUAAUGAAGUACGAUUAUGGCUAUGCAUGGUAAAGAUACAUAUGGUUGUAUUGUCUGGGAUGCAACUUGUAACUUUAAGGUGUCGUAUGAUGCUAGUUAAGCUGUGUUGUGGUGUGUAACCUUUAUGCCCUGGCCUCGCAUGCUAGAAGGUGUUGGCUCCUUUGUGUUUCUGGUUCAGUCACCUCACUCAGAUUUGGAAGCUACGGCAUAUACUUGUUUUGUGGUGCUCAAUUCUUUUAGAUGAUGUGGCCAAACUCGUGACGUUGGAUUUUAGUAUGAUGGUGACGACAUUAUGUGGUGUUAUUAGUCCCGUAAAGGUAGACAACUAUAUUGAUAUGAUAAGACUAGGAAUGCUACGUGGCGGUGUAAUGGUUCUACGGAAAAACUUAUCGUCCUUUUGAGUGGGUUCUUGCUGUGUAUAAGGGGUUUGCUUUUGGGCUUUCUACUGAGUUGAAAUAGGAUGGAUUAGAAUUGGUCAAUACUUGACAUCCAAGGUGAAACGAUCCAAAACAUGGCUUGAUUGCUAUCCUUAUGAUUUAGCUUCUUUCAAAUGCUUAUACAAAUUGAGGAGGCUUUCACUUGGUUUCGAUAACGCUAAGUGCAGCGGAAUUUGAGAGUAGAGGAAUGUACGGGUAAUGAACUUGUAAUUCAAGUAAUUAAGAGUAUUUCUCUCGAGUAUUGCAUAUGCAAAGAAACUUUUUGAAUCA